CGCCUUUUGAAUUACAAGUAUAAAAGGUCCUGCCUGCCCAGUGACAAUGUUCAACGGCCGCGGUAUUAUGACCGUGCAAAGGUAGCGUAAUCACUUGUCUUUUAAAUAAAGACCAGUAUGAACGGCAAGACGAAAGCCAAGCUGUCUCCCUAGAUUGGUCAAUGAAAUUGAUGUUCCCGUGCAGAAGCGGGAAUAAUAAUAUAAGACGAGAAGACCCUGUGGAGCUUCAAACUUAGGCUAACAAACUAUAAAUGUCUUAGCACCCAGUUUUAGGUUGGGGCGACCACGAGGUAAAAUAUAACCCUCGAGACAAAUUAAGAAGGACACUUCGACAAUAACAUACAACAAAUUGACCCAAUAAUUGAUCAACGAACCAAGUUACCCCAGGGAUAACAGCGCAAUCUACUCAAAGAGCUCAUAUCGACGAGCAGGUUUACGACCUCGAUGUUGGAUCAGGACCCCCCAAUAACGCAACAGUUAUUAAAGGUUCGUUUGUUCAACGAUUAAAGUCCU
rnacentral:rRNA from 1 species